GAUGAACGCUGGCGGCGUGCCUAAUACAUGCAAGUCGAGCGAACGGACGAGAAGCUUGCUUCUCUGAUGUUAGCGGCGGACGGGUGAGUAACACGUGGAUAACCUACCUAUAAGACUGGGAUAACUUCGGGAAACCGGAGCUAAUACCGGAUAAUAUUUUGAACCGCAUGGUUCAAAAGUGAAAGACGGUCUUGCUGUCACUUAUAGGUGGAUCCGCGCUGCAUUAGCUAGUUGGUAAGGUAACGGCUUACCAAGGCAACGAUGCAUAGCCGACCUGAGAGGGUGAUCGGCCACACUGGAACUGAGACACGGUCCAGACUCCUACGGGAGGCAGCAGUAGGGAAUCCUCCGCAAUGGGCGAAAGCCUGACGGAGCAACGCCGCGUGAGUGAUGAAGGUCUUCGGAUCGUAAAACUCUGUUAUUAGGGAAGAACAUAUGUGUAAGUAACUGUGCACAUCUUGACGGUACCUAAUCAGAAAGCCACGGCUAACUACGUG
rnacentral:rRNA from 1 species